AUGGGGAAUCGUUUAUCCUCUGCAAGCAGCUCGCUACUCAAAAAGGAUUUAGUGAAGCCUCCCGGUCAAGAAACAUCCUAUCAAGCUCAAUGUUAUUCGAACACAUCACCCUCAGAUGAGCUUCUUGGUGCCAUGGCAACAUUUGAUGUAUAUGGGUUCCCAAAUUUGAACAAGGACCAAGUAAGCUCAGCAGAUUUAGCGGUACUAAAUGAGCAACGCCAUGAUCUUACUGACGGAAAUGCUUUAUUUGCCGGAUGGAUGGUUGAUAAUGGUGUCUCGACAGGAUGCUAUAAUCUGGACCGUGAUGGUUUUGUACCUGUAAACAAUGCCCCUAUAACUCCUGGAGAUAUUUUAGAGCCAACUAAUGGCACUCUGAGUAUCACAAUCAAGAUAUUUAAGAAAAAAGAUGAUGGUGACUGGUGGUUGUACUUUGGACAUGAUAAUAACAAUCUUAGCCCUGUAGGAUUUUGGUUGAGCAGUGUUUUAACCAAUUUGGCUGACCAUGCAAACGUCAUAGCAUGGGGUGGCUACACCUACACACAAUCUACUACUCCCUCCUUCCCUAAAUAUUUGACACCGUUGACUUUUUUAAACAUGUUCAACCAUUCGUUUUAUUCAAACACUUUUGUGAAAUAUUGUUGACAGAAAACAC
rnacentral:lncRNA from 1 species